rnacentral:tRNA from 1 species
CGGGGUGUGGCUCAGCUUGGCUAGAGCGCCUGCUUCGGGAGCAGGAGGUCGCUGGUUCGAAUCCAGUCACUCCGACCA